GCAUUGAAACACCAUUUCCCGUACGAUCAUCGAAGCUAAGCAACGUCGAGCCUGGUCAGUACCAAGAUGGGUGACCGCUUGCGAAUACCAGGUGCUGUAAG